CCUACGGGUGGCAGCAGUAGGGAAUAUUGCGCAAUGGGCGAAACCCUGACGCAGCAACGCCGCGUGGUGGAUGAGGGUUUUAGGAUGGUAAGCUCCUUUUGUUAGAGAAGAUUAUGACGGUAUCUAACGAAUAAGCACCGGCUAACUCCGUGCCAGCAGCCGCGGUAAUACGGGGGGUGCAAGCGUUAGUCGGAAUCACUGGGCGUAAAGAGUGCGUAGGCGGGGGAUUAAGUCAGAUGUGAAAUGUUGAAGCUUAACUACAGUACUGCAUUGGAAACUGGCCAUCUAGAGUGUGGUAGAGGUAGAGGGAAUUCUUGGUGUAGGGGUAAAAUCCGUAGAGAUCAAGAGGAAUA
rnacentral:rRNA from 1 species